rnacentral:lncRNA from 1 species
CUUUAGUUCAUUACAAUCAAAUUUUUUAAAGACAAUUUGAUCUUAUAGGUCUUCUGGAAAGGUGAUUUCAUACAAAAGAGGAAAAGUGAAUCUUAAUUAAAAAUUUGAUUAGUUAAAUAUACAGGGGCUUUAUUUGCUUUCCCUUCUCUGUUCCUCUGCUCCCUUACCCUUUUGUGGAUAUGGUAUAAUGGCAGGUGGGGCUUCUUUCCCUUUUGGGGGUCCCUUUCUCCUGAAAGAGCCAUUUCUUCUCUGAGAAGUAUAAAGUUGAGUCUAGUUCUUUCCUACUUUCAUUUCUGCAUACUCUUCCCUUUCUUAAUAGUUCUUUGCAGUAUUCUUUAAGACUACUGGAUUGGUUACCAGAGCAAUGAAUUUUGUGGACUGAAUGCUUUAUAACUAGAAAGUUAGGAAUUGUUUUUCUAAAACUGUUA